rnacentral:rRNA from 1 species
GGGUUGUGAGGUUAAGCGACCAAGCGUACACGGUGGAUGCCCUGGCAGUCAGAGGCGAUGAAGGACGUGCUAAUCUGCGAAAAGCGCCGGUAAGGUGAUAUGAACCGUUAUAACCGGCGAUGUCCGAAUGGGGAAACCCAGUGUGACUCGUCACACUAUCAUUAACUGAAUCCAUAGGUUAAUGAGGCGAACCGGGGGAACUGAAACAUCUAAGUACCCCGAGGAAAAGAAAUCAACCGAGAUUCCCCCAGUAGCGGCGAGCGAACGGGGAGGAGCCCAGAGCCUGAAUCAGCAUGUGUGUUAGUGGAAGCGUCUGGAAAGGCGCGCGAUACAGGGUGAGAGCCCCGUACACAAAAGCGCACAUGCUGUGAGCUCGAUGAGUAGGGCGGGACACGUGGUAUCCUGUCUGAAUAUGGGGGGACCAUCCUCCAAGGCUAAAUACUCCUGACUGACCGAUAGUGAACCAGUACCGUGAGGGAAAGGCGAAAAGAACCCCGGCGAGGGGAGUGAAACAGAACCUGAAACCGUGUACGUACAAGCAGUGGGAGCCCCACCACUA